rnacentral:rRNA from 1 species
UACGUAGGGUGCAAGCGUUGUCCGGAAUUAUUGGGCGUAAAGAGCUCGUAGGCGGUCUGUCGCGUCGGAUGUGAAAACCCAGGGCUCAACCCUGGGCCUGCAUUCGAUACUGCCGGACUAGAGUUCGGAAGAGGCGAGUGGAAUUCCCGGUGUAGCGGUGAAAUGCGCAGAUAUCGGGAGGAACACCUAUGGCGAAGGCAGCUCGCUGGGACGUUACUGACGCUGAGACGCGAAAGCGUGGGGAGCAAACAGG